rnacentral:rRNA from 1 species
AUUGAACGCUGGCGGCAGGCUUAACACAUGCAAGUCGAGCGGGGUGAUGGUGCUUGCACUAUCACUUAGCGGCGGACGGGUGAGUAAUGCUUAGGAAUCUGCCUAUUAGUGGGGGACAACAUCUCGAAAGGGAUGCUAAUACCGCAUACGUCCUACGGGAGAAAGCAGGGGAUCACUUGUGACCUUGCGCUAAUAGAUGAGCCUAAGUCGGAUUAGCUAGUUGGUGGGGUAAAGGCCUACCAAGGCGACGAUCUGUAGCGGGUCUGAAAGGAUGAUCCGCCACACUGGGACUGAGACACGGCCCAGACCCCUACGGGAGGCAGCAGUGGGGAAUAUUGGACAAUGGGGGGAACCCUGAUCCAGCCAUGCCGCGUGUGUGAAGAAGGCCUUAUGGUUGUAAAGCACUUUAAGCGAGGAGGAGGCUCUUUUGGUUAAUACCCAAGAUGAGUGGACGUUACUCGCAGAAUAAGCACCGGCUAACUCUGUGCCAGCCGCCGCAGUAAUAC